GAUGAACGCUGGCGGCGUGCCUAAUACAUGCCAGUCGAGCGAACAGACGAUGAGCUUUCUCCUCGUACGGAAGCGGCGAGCAGGUGAGUAACACUUUGAUAACCUACCUAUAAUACUGGGAGAAAUUCGGGAAUCCUGAGCUAAAACCGGAUAAGAUAUUGAACGGCAUGGUUAAAUAGUUAAAGGCGUGUUUGCUGUCACUUAUAGAUGGAUCCGCGCGGCAUGAGAUAGCUGGUAAGGUAACGGAUUACUAAGGCAACGAUGCGUAGACGACGUGAGAGGGUGAUAGCCCACCCGGGAACUGGGACACGGUCCCGACUCCUACGGGAGGCACCAGUAGGGAAUCUUCCGCAAUGGGGGAAAGCUUGGCGGAGCAACGCCGCGUGAGUGAUGAAGGUCUUCGGAUCGUAAAACUCUGUUAUUAGGGAAGAACAAAUGUGUAAGUAACUAUGCACGUCUUGACGGUACCUAAUCAGAAAGCCACGGCUAACUACGUG
rnacentral:rRNA from 1 species